rnacentral:rRNA from 1 species
AGAGCGAACGCUGGCGGCAGGCCUAAAACAUGCAAGUCGAACGGACCCUUCGGGGUUAGUGGCGGACGGGUGAGUAACACGUGGGAACGUGCCUUUUGGUUCAGAACAACUCAGGGAAACUUGAGCUAAUACUGAAUAAGCCCUACGGGGGAAAGAUUUAUCGCCAUUAGAGCGGCCCGCGUUGGAUUAGCUAGUUGGUGAGGUAAAGGCUCACCAAGGCUACGAUCCAUAGCUGGUCUGAGAGGAUGAUCAGCCACACUGGGACUGAGACACGGCCCAGACUCCUACGGGAGGCAGCAGUUAGGAAUCUUGCGCAAUGGGCGAAAGCCUGACGCAGCCAUGCCGCGUGGGGGAUGAAGGCCUUCGGGUUGUAAACCCCUUUCGGCAGGGACGAAGCGAAAGUGACGGUACCUGCAAAAGAAGCGCCGGCUAACUACGUGCCAGCAGCCGC